rnacentral:rRNA from 1 species
GAGAGUUAAAUAGUACGUGAAAUUGUUGAAAGGGAAACGAUUGAAGUCAGUCAUGCUAGUGAAAAUUCAGUUUGGUGGGUUUUGGGUUCAGGAGUUGAGGCAGGGUCAACCCGUUUCUCUUUUGAACUUGGAAUUUGUCAGAUGCACUUUUUCUUUGGCAGGUCAGCGUCGAUUUCGGAGGUUGUAAAAUACUUGGGGAAAAGUAGCUCUGCUUCGGGAGAGUGUUAUAGACCUUGGGUGAUGCGGCCUGCGGGAUCGAGGAUUGCAGCAAAUGCUUUUGGCUUGUCGCCUGAUCUCUGGACGUCAUCUCGCUUGUAUCAACAUUCUUGGUACCGGUGAGUAAUGGUGCUCAUAGGUUAGAGCGAUCAAAAAUUUUGCUAAGGAUGCUGACGUAAUGGCUUUAAACGA